AAUGAGAUACGGGACGGGUUUGGGGGCAAAUUAUUCCCUAUAUAAUUGGCCGCGCGGCUGAAUGAAUGGGCUAUCUAGGGUUUUUCCUAGCUCCUCUGUCGGAUCUCCAAAGCCUUCCAAAAUGACAAAGAGAACCAAGAAGGCUGGUGUCGUUGGGAAGUAUGAUUUUAGUCUCUACAGCUUGUCUUGACUCUUUUAAGUACUUUGGAAUGUUUUUGCUUGUGUGUUAUUGCAUUUAGAAUGUUGCUAACACCUGGUAAAUUUCAAGUACCGGAUACGGUGCUAGUUUGCGUAAGCAAAUUAAAAAGAUGGAGGUCAGUCAGCACAAGUACUUCUGUGAGUUCUGUGGAAAGUACGCAGUGAAGAGUAAAGCCAUGGCAAUGUGGGGAUGUCAAGACUGUGGCAAUGUGAAAGCUGGGGGUGUUACUCUUUGAAGUCUAAUUGCAAGUGUUCGGAUUGUCAGGAGCAUCAUUCGGAGGUUGAGAUAGCAAAUUGAGAGUUAAACUCAUAUAUAGUUUAUUAACCUCUUUGAUAGCCUUUGGCCUAAUUAGUAACUUAUAACCUAUAGCUUUUGACACAAUAUUUUCUUUUUAUUAACCUAUUUAUUAUGUUUUUCGACUCAAAUAGUAACAUAUAACUUACAACAUUUGGUCCAUUUUUUCAUUUUACUAACCUAUACUUUAUAGCUUUUAGCCAAGAUACUAACUUGUAUCAUAAAGCUUUUGACCUAACUUUUUUUUUAUUUACUUAUUGGCUAUAGCUUUUAGUCUAAAUAGUAACCUAUAACUUAUAGCGUUUGUCUUAAUUUUUAUUUUUAUUUUUAUUAAUGUAUUAGAUAGACUUUUUGCAUAAAUAGUAAUCUAUGACCUGUAACUUUUGGUUUAACAUUUUAUUAGCAUAUUAGUCUUAAUACUAACCUAUAAUCUAUAAUUUUUGGUUGAACUUUUUUUUAUUAUUUUAUUGUCAAUAGUUUUUGGCACAAAUGGUAACUAUAACUUUUAGCUUUUUGCUUAAUUUUUUCUUUUCAUUAACUUAUUGGUUAUAUCUUUUUGUCAAAAUAGUUAUCUUUAGCUUAUAGCCUUUUGCUAGGUUUUUUACUAACUUAUUGUCUAUAGUCUUAGACCUAAAUAGUAAGUUAUAAAUAUGAACCUAUAGUUUAUAGCUUUUGGUCAAAUAUUUGUUUUUAUUAACCUAUUGGCUAUAGCGUUUAGUUCAAAUAGUAAUUAACCUGUAACUUUUUGUUAUAGUAUUUGGCUCAAUUUUUUCUUUUUAUUAACUUAUUAUUCAGGGUCUUAGGCUUAAAUAAUAAUUUAUAGCUUAUAACCUUUAGUUCAACUUUUUUUUUAUUAUUCUAUUUGCUAUAAUCUUUGGUCCAAAUAGUAACUUAUAAUCUAUAACUUUUGACUUAAAUUUUAAUAACCUAUAGUUUAUAAUCUUUGGCUUAACUUUUUUUUUUUAAACUAAAUUAAUGGCUAUAACUUUUGGCCCAUAUAACUUAUAUCCAUUGGCCUUUUUUUUUUUGUUACUUUAAAAAAAUUCCCUUAUAGCUUAUAGUUUUUGAUUAAAUUUUUUUUGUAAUAAACUAUUGGAUGAAGCCUUGUAUGCCUAAAUAAUAACUUAUUGGCUAUAAUCUUUGUCUAAAUACUAACUUAUAAGCUAUUGCCUUUUACUCAACUUUUAAUUUUAUUAAUUUAUUGGCUUUACCCUUUAGUAAAAAAUUAACCUAUAGUUUAUAGCUUUUGGUUUAACUUUUUUUAUUGCUAACUUAUUUUUUAUAGUAGCUGGCUCAAGUAGUAACCAAUAUUAUAUAGCAUUUCACCAAACUUUUACUUGUUAUUAACCUAUUAUCUAUAGCUUUUAGCUCAAAUAUUAGCUUAACUUAUAUCUUUUGGCUUAACUUUUUAAUUUUAUUAACUUAUUGGCUAUAACUUUUUGCUCAAAUAUAAACCUAUAACCUAUAGCUUUUGGUUCAAUUUAUAACCUAUUAACGCAAAAAAAAAAAAAAAAAGAUCAAAGGUUAUAUGUUAUAGGUUUUUAUUUGGGUAGAUUAUAGCAAAUAGGUUAAAAAUAAAAAAUUAUUGGUCCAAAGUUUAUAAGCUAUAAGUUACUAUUCAAAUCAAUGAUUAUAGCCAAUGACUAUAGGUUAUUAUAUGAUAAAAGUUGCUAUUUUGGCCUUUUACUAUAGUUAAUAGGUUAAUAAAAAUAAAAAGUUGAGCCAAAGACUAUAGGCUAUGGAUUGUUAUUUGGGCGUAAGGUUAUAGCUAUUAGAUUAAUAAAAAGAAAAAGUUGGAUCAAAGAGUAUAAGUUAGUAUUUGGACCAAAAGUUAUACAGUAUAGGUACAUCUUAGGGCUUAGGCUAUAGCUAAUUGGUCAGUAAAAUGAAAAGUUGGGCCAAAGGUAAUAGCUAAUCGUUUAAUAAAAAGAAAACCCUAGGCUAAAGGUUGUGGGCUAUUGUUUAUUAUUUGGGCUUAAGGCUAUUGCCAAUAUAUUAAUAAAAGGAAAAGCUGGACCAUAGAUUAUAAGCUACAAGUCACUACUUGGGCCUAAAGCUAUAGCUAAUAGAUUAGUAAAAAGAACAAGUUUGUUCAAAAGUUAUAGGUUAGUAUUUAGGCAAAAGAUUGUCAUCAAGAUGGUAAAAUGAAAAAGUUGAGUAAAGGCUAUAGCUUAUCAGUUACUAUUUGAUCCUAAGGCAAUACGUUAUAGAUUACUAUUUAGGACCAAGGCUAUAGUCACUAGAUUAAGAAUAAAAAGUAGAGCCAAAGGCUAGAGGUUGUAACUUAUUAUUUUGGCAUUAAGCUAUAGCUAAUAAGUUAGUAAAAAAAAAAGUUCGCUAAAUGCUAUAGGUUAUAAAUUAGCAUUUGAGCCAAAAGCAACAGUUAAUAGAUUAAUAAAAAAGUUAAUAGAUUAAUAAAAAAAUAAUUGGACAAAAAGCUAUAAGUUAUAGGUUAGUAUUUGGGUUAAAGGUUAUAACAAUUAGGUUAAUAAAAAAAAACUGAAAAGGUUUGGCAAAAAACUAUAACCUAUUGUUACUAUUUAGGCCAAAAGAUAUAGCUAGUUGGUUAAUAAAAAAAGUUGGGUCCAAGACCAUAAGGCAUAUGUUAGAAUUUGGGCGAAAGACAAUAGCCACAAGGUCAAUAAAAAAAAGUUUAGUAAAAGGUUACAAGCUGUUAGUUACUAUAUGGCUUAAGUAUAUAACCGAUAAGUUAAUAAAAAGAAAAAGUUGGGUAAAAUGUUUUAGGCUAUAGGUUAAUAUUGGGAACAAAAGCUAUUGCCAAAAAAUAAGUAAAAAUAAAAAAUUAGGUAAAAGAUUAUAAACAAUAGGUAAUAAAAUAAAAGUUGGGCUAAAAGUUAUAGGAAAUAAGUUAAUAAUAAGAAAAAGUUGGACCAAAAGCUAUAAGUUUUUGGUUACUAUUUAGGCUAAAUGUUAUAACCAAUAAGUUAAAAAAAAAAAAUUGACCAAAGGUUAUAGACUAUGUUAGUAUUUGAGCUAAAAGUUACAAUAAAUAGAUUAAUAAAAGAAAAAAUUGGGUUAAUAGCUCUUAGCUUUAACUUACUAUUUACAUCAAAGCCUAUAAAUAGUAGAUUAAUAAAAAAAAAAAGGUUGACGAAAAGCUAUAAGUUAUAGGUUCCUAUUUUGACAAAAGGUUAUAAUCAAUAAGUUAAUAAAAAGAAAAAGGUUAGGCAAAUAAUUAUAAGUUAUAUGUUACAAUUUUGGCUAAAGGUUUUUGCCAAUAGGAUACCAAAACAAAAAUAUUGGGCCUAAGGAUAUAGGUUAUAGGUUAGAAUUUGGAACAAAUGUUAUAAACAAUAGGUUAAUAAAAGAAAAGGUUGAGCCAAAUGUUAUAAGUUAUAUAUUACUAUUUGUGCACAAGGCUUAAAAAAAUAAAUUAAGACAUACGUUAUAGGUUAUAAGUUACUAUUUAGGUCAAAAGUUAUAGUGAAUAAAUUAAUAAAAAGAAAAAAUUAGGUAAAAGACUUUAUGAUGCAAGUUAAUAUUUGAGUUAAAAACUAUAUGGUAUAGGUUAGUAACAAGAAAAAGUUAAGUUAAAGAUUAUAGGCAAUAUGUUACUAUUUGCGUUGAAGGAUAUAGCAAAUAUGUUAAUAAAAAGAAAAAGUUGUGUCGAAGGCUAUAAGUAAUAAGUUACUAAUUGGACAAAUGGUAAUAACCAUGAGGCUAAUAAAAAGAAAAAAAUUUCACCAAAUGUUGUAGGCUAUAAAGUAGUGAUUAGACCAAAUGUUGUAGCCAAUAUGUUAGUAAAGGGAAAAAAGUUGGUUCAAAUGCUAUAGGCUAUAGUUUAGUUUAUAGGCAAAAAGCUAUAGCCAAUAGGUUAAUAAAAAGAAAAAAAUUGAGUGGAAAACUAUAAGCUACUAUUUAUUAUUUGAUCAAAUGCUAUAGUAAAUAGGUUCAUAAAAUGACAAAGCUAGGCAAAAGUUAUAGGGUAUAAUUUAGAUGAAAGGCUAUAGGCAAUAAGUUGCUAAAAAGAAAAAGUUAGAGCAAAAGUUAUUUUUUAUAGGUUAAUAGUUAGGCUAAAGGAUAUAGGCAAUAAGAUAGUAAGAAGAAAAAGUUAUGGUAAAGCUAUAAGCUAAAUGUUAGUAUUUAUGCCAAGGGUUAUAGUUAAUAGGUUAAGAAAAAAAUUUAAGCCAAAUACUAUAUGCUAUUAUUUACUAUUUGGUAAAAAAGAUAUAACCAAUAGGUUAAUAAAAAAGAAAAACUUGGUCUAAAAGCUAUUGGCUAUAGGUUAGAAUUUAGGCUAAUGGCUGUAUUAAAUAGGUUAACAAAAAGAAAAUGUUAGGUCAAAGGUUAUAAACUAUAAGUUAUUAUUUAGGUCUAAAACUAUAAUCAAUAGGUUAGUAAAAAAAAAAUGUUAGGCCAAAUUUAAUAGGCUUUAGGUUAAUAGUAAGGUUAAAGGCUCUAUAUGUUAUGUAUGUAAAUUGAUAAAGUUGAGACGAAGGCUAUAGGUUAUUGAUUAGCAUUUAAGCUAAAUAUUAUAGAUAAUAAAUUAGUAGAAAGAAAAAGUUGUAUUAUGGCCAAAGGUUAUAGCCUUAGAUUAGUAUUUGAUUCAAAGGCUAUAAUCAAGAGGUUAAGAAAAGAAAAUUUUUGGGCCAAAUGUUAUAUUUUAUAUGCUAUUUUUUUAGCCUAAGGUUAUAGUAAAUAGUUUAGUAAAAAGAGAAGUCAAGCAAAAUGCUAUAAGUUAUAUAUUAGCAUACAUUUGAGUUGAAGAUUGUAACCAAUAGAUUAAUAAAAAAAUAUUUGGCCAAAGGUUAUAGAUUCUAAGUUAGUAUUAGGCCAAAGUUUAUAGUUAAUAGGUUAAUAAAAGAAAAUGUUAGGCUAAAGGCUAUAGGUUAAAAGCUAUUUACUAUUUGGAUUGAAGAUUAUAACCAAUAGAUUAAUAAAAAAAUAUGUUGGGCUAAAUGCUAUAUGCUAUAGGUUAUUAUUUUGGUCAAUAGUUAUACUAAAAAAACAAUAGAGCCAAGAGUUAUAGGCCAUAAGUUACUAUUUAAGCAUAAAGCUAUAAUUAAUAGGUUAAUAAAAAAAAGUUAAACUAAAAGCUAUAGAUUGACAUUUAAGUCAAAAGUUAUAUCUUGUAGGUACAAUUUGGGUCGUAGGCUAUAGUCAAUAUGAUAGUAAAAUAAAAAAGUUAGGCUAAAGGCUAUCAUCUACAGGUUACUAUUUGAGCUAAAGGUUAUAGCCAAUAACUUAGUAAAAAAGAAAAGUUUGGCAAAGACUAUAAGCUAUAGGCUAUAGGUUAUUAUUAGGGGCUAAAGCUAUGGCUAAUAUGUUAAUAAAAAAAAAAGUUGGACAAAAAAUUAUAGGAUAUAAGUUACUAUUUAGGACAAAGGCUAUAACUAAUAAGUUAAUAAAAAGAAAAAAGUUAGUUUAAAGGGUAUUGGUUAUAGUUUACUAUUUGGGUGAAAUGUUAUCAAUGAUAUGUUAAUAAAAUGAAAAGUUAAACCAAAGGCUAUGGGAUAUAUGUUAUAAUUUGGACAAAAGGU